UUUUUUUGGGGGGUAAAACAGAUUGCCAUAACAGUGUAGGCUUUUGUAAACGCGUAAUAGGAAUAUUUUCUGAAUUAAUUCUGAAUGCCUCUUGUAGUGUUGAGAAGAUAGUCAUGUGUCAAGGGAAUGUGGUGGAAAGGAGGUGGUGGUGAUGGCGGCAUCGGCAAUCGGAUUGGCACAAGUGUGGACAAGAGGGAUAUUUACCACAGAGUGUCCACAAGCCUGACGGGGUGGUGGUAGUGGAGUAACAAAUGUCAUGAAGCUUGGCACACUACGAAAGACUACACGAAACUAUUCAAUGAAUUGAUUGAAGAUGGAAAGCUGGGUGAACAUUACAUUCUGGAAGCUGUGACUUGCAAUGAAAAGGAACUGUUUAAGGGCAUCGUCUGUGGGGAAGGCUUUAACAAUUUUGAUGAAGCCUUUGUCCUGGUUACAAGAAAAGAUGUACCUUAAUACAUAACAUCAUUCGAACAAGCCGGCCUGCACUCAAUACUACUUCAGAACAUUAAGAAUUCUGCAUACACAAAACUUACACCUGUACAGAAAGCUUCAGUUGCAGUUAUUCUCGCCAAGGGAGAUUUGUUUGCUUGUGCAUCAUUUUAUUUAAUUUUUGUUUAAGGAAACAGUUCAAUAGAAUACUUUAUAUUAUAGUUUUCUACUGUUCAUCCGGUAUUAUUGUUUUUACUGUAUCGCAUACCUACACAGGCAUCAAAAUGCCAAACUAUGUACGUAAGGACAGUUAAGGCAUAAUGGUAGCAUGUUGUCCUGCAGUGCGAAAGGUCUGCGGUUCGAAUCCUAUAAUGGUUAAUAUUGCUUGGCGAGGUCGUCCAUGAAAAAAUCUGGGGCUUACCGACCAUCCAGUCGUUGAGAAGAAUGCAUUUUUUCUUUUUUUUGCCAUUUUUCGUUAUUUCGACAAAUAAAAGUUUGUUGUAAAGAAAAAAAGCACCUGGCGAAUCCGAGUACUGAACCCUAGACUUUGGACUUCUGAAGCCGAUGCUCUACCAUUGAGCUAUUUCACAUAUCUAAGUGAUACUAUUACUAAUAGUGAAUUUAGGAAUGCCUGUUGGACUUAGAAAAAAAAAAGCAAGCUUCCUUUUCGUUGCCUGACCAUUCACUGGCUCAGAACAUCGAAACCAAGACCCAGGCCAAAAAAAAUGAGUGCUUACCUUUCUUUGCCUGUACCAAUGUUCAGGCAAAUGCUUGGCUGGCAAGGAGCAUCGAAGCCAGGACCCAGGCCACUUGACUUUCCGAAUACCAAUAUCUAAAUAUACCCGAAAACCAAUUUU